AACAGAGUUCCAGCUCAGCAGUGGCAUGCAUUCUACGUGUGCCCUUACUACACUUGGCCUUAGCCAAAAGGCUGAGAAGUGAUUAUGUGUGCCCUUAAAGGAGUGACUUAAUUCCUCCAAGCCCAGCCCAUUUCCUCAGCUGACAAGUAGCAAUGGCAGUUUCUGCUCUAUAGAUCUGUCUUGGAGAUUAAAUGAAAUCAUCCAUCACACAUGCCUAGCACAAAGAUUGCAAGCAAAAAGAACAACCAGUGUCACUAGCUCUCAGCCCUCUCAGUCAUGCGGUAUAGAGAUCUGCUCUGGAGUCUCCUGCAACCUCCUUUGGACCCAGUCCCAGGAGCCUGGGAGAGAUGGAGACGGAGAUGGAGACGGGACCUUUCCCGCUUGGCUGCCUCAGAUCUGCAGACCCGUGUCAGGCUCCUCCUUCUCCUCCCAAGGCUCAGGCUCAGCCUGUACCAAACUCCCCAGGCAGCCCAGCUUGGUGCCCACGUGGUUCCUGCCAGAGCCAAACAGGAAGAAUAGAGAGCAACUACCACAACAGUGCUGGCGAUGGUCAGGAUACUUCUGCUAACUUCAGUGGAACACAGGCUGUCUGUUGAGCAUGGAUUCUAUGAUCCUCGCAUAUAUCCAUCCAUAGAGGCCUCACAACACUCCUCUGAGGAGGCGUUAGCAUAACCCCCACUGUAAAUGAGUACAGGGGAGCUAGGAAGUGUCGGGCUUGACCUGGCUGUGAGAUGAUGGGUGAAUAUCCUCUUCAAUUCCAAGCUACAGUUUGACAAGAUACAAAAACCACAACAAAACAGGCAGCCGAUGCAGGUGCCGUCUCUACCCGAAAAAGCCGUGCUGUCUCGGACACAGGAUGGGAUGUUCCCAACACAGCAAUAAUGACUACAACGUGCAGCAUCUUCUCCAUGCCAAGUACCUGAAAGGAUCCAUACGUCUGCCUUGAUCCCUGCAUGGACCCGACCACAAAUAUCUGCUCUGACUCCUCCACGUGACAGACGUAACAGAGCUCUCUGCCAAUGCCCUAUAAAGCUUCCUGCCUUUUCUUUGUUCGAGGCUGGGCGCCUCUUGCUUGCCCUCAGUCCGCCUCUGCCCAGGUGAAUAAAGUCUGUGCUUCUUUGCUUUCAUUGGCCUGCCUGGGUGGUCUCAUUCCUCCACUGUUUGUUACAGGAAGAAUUUCGCUAUCAAAGGACACAGAAACAAACUAUGCAAUGGACUGCCUUAAAACCAUGUGCUGGCUGAGAGCUCUGAUUUUACUGAGAUUGUAUAUUUACGAUUAUGCAAAACUGAGGAGUUUUUUGUUUGUUUUUGUUCUAUGUUACUGGGAAUUGAACCAGCCUGUCCUCUUUGCCUGUCUCUCUUUUCCUCAAACAGGAAACCUUCUCACUGAACUACAUUCCCAUCCUUAUUUUUCAUUUUCUAUUUUGAGACAGGUUUUUGCUAAGUUGCCCAGGUUGGGCUCAAAAUUGUGAUCCUCCUGCAUGAGCAUUUUAUAACUGUGGAAAACAAGGGAGUCAGCGACCUCUAGAAAUCCUCUCACCUUGACCGUCCAGGGAGCCUGGGACUGGAUACGUCCUCUCCUUCUCCAGGAGCUGCCUCAGAUCUGCCCACCUGUGUCAGGAAUUCCAGAAUACGGCGGUUUGGAGGAAGUCUCCACGUGUGCUGGUGGAGAUGGAGGUCUGGAGCCUCUCCAAAGCAUGCUUGCAGCAAGAUCUGAGCAGCGUAGAGCAACGAGACCCUGAGGCCCGAAACGGUGUUUACAUCAAGGGAAAAAUCCUCUACUUUGAAGGAUUGCAAGGAAGCCCGAGAUAGCAAAAGUUGAUGUCUCAGUCUGUUUUAUGCUGCUUGAAAAGAAUAGCUCAGACUAAGUUACACAAAGCAAAUCUAUUUCUUCAGUCUAGAGGCUGAGAAAUGCAAGGCAGAGAGGCCCACCUCAGAGAAGGGCUUCCGUGCUGUGUCACCCCCACGGCAGAGUGUGCAGGGCAAGGAAGCACACACGUGCAAGCAUGUGCAGCAGUGAGAGAGAAUGCAG
ensembl:lncRNA